rnacentral:rRNA from 1 species
CUCCCUACGGGAGGCAGCAGUGGGGAAUAUUGGACAAUGGGGGCAACCCUGAUCCAGCCAUGCCGCGUGGGUGAAGAAGGCCUUCGGGUUGUAAGCCCUUUGUACGGGAAGAAAAGCUACGGGUGAAUACUCCGUGGUCAUGACGGUACCGUAAGAAUAAGCACCGGCUAACUUCGUGCCAGCAGCCGCGGUAAUUC